rnacentral:sRNA from 1 species
GACUAGCCCUGAUUGCAGCGACAUCCUCCCGAUUUUCUCGGGAGAUACAGCGGAAAGCAGGAAAUAGC